GACGAACGCUGGCGGCGUGCUUAACACAUGCAAGUCGAACGGUGAAGGGAUCAGCUUGCUGGUUCUGGAUGAGUGGCGAACGGGUGAGUAACACGUGAGUAACCUGCCCCCUUCUUCUGGAUAACCGCAUGAAAGUGUGGCUAAUACGGGAUAUUCUGCGCCUGCUGCAUGGUGGGUGUGGGAAAGAUAUUGUUUCGGUGGGGGAUGGGCUCGCGGCCUAUCAGCUUGUUGGUGGGGUGAUGGCCUACCAAGGCGGUGACGGGUAGCCGGCCUGAGAGGGUGGACGGUCACACUGGGACUGAGACACGGCCCAGACUCCUACGGGAGGCAGCAGUGGGGAAUAUUGCACAAUGGGCGCAAGCCUGAUGCAGCGACGCCGCGUGAGGGAUGGAGGCCUUCGGGUUGUGAACCUCUUUCGCCAGUGAAGCAGGCCUGUCCCUUGUGGGUGAGUUGACGGUAGCUGGAUAAGAAGCGCCGGCUAACUACGUG
rnacentral:rRNA from 1 species